UACGGGAAGGGGGCUAGCGUUGCUCGGAUUGAGCUAGGGGCGUAAAGGGUGCGUAGGGCGGCGCGGUGAAGUACGGGCUGUGAAACUCGUCGGGGCUUAACUCCGAAACUGCAUUCGAGUACUGCCGUGGCUUGAGGACUGGAGAAGGAGACUGGAAUUUACGGUGUAGCGGUGAAAUGCGUAGAUAUCGUAAGGAAGACCAGUGGCGAAGGCGGGGUCUCUGGGACAGUUCCUGACGCUGAGGCACGAAGGCCAGGGGAGCAAAACGGG
rnacentral:rRNA from 1 species